rnacentral:tRNA from 1 species
GGAGAGAUGGCUCAGUGGGUAAGAGCACUGAUUGUGCUCCCAGAGGUCCUGAGUUCAAAUCCCAGCAACCACA